GAAAGAGAGGAGUUAUUACCGAGACUCUACAGCGGGUCGUUGGCUGCAACUGUAGUGUAGAGUAAGGCUAGCUUCUGGUAACCGGCGAGAGGAGUGACCCUGGCGUCCUAUCAGGAAGAAAAGGAGAAAAAUCAGUUUUCACAUAUGCAACGCGCAUAUGGGCCUGUAGAAACUCAGGUAGUGACUCCUGCGUGAACAGCAGUACCUGUUGGACUAAUUUUAAGCACUCAGAUGGUCUUGCUAAACUGCUGAGGCUGGCCUUGAACUUGCAAUCCUUCUGCCUUACUCUCCUGAGCCACUGGAAUUACAGGCAUACACCAUUGCAAUCCAGCUCCCACUUAAGUAUUCCAAAGUAGAUUUACCAGCAGGUUGCAAGUGUACAUGGCCAUGAGGUAAACCCUGCCCCUUGUUGAAAUUUAGUUUCAGCUGAUUGUUCAGUAGUAUUUUAAGGAAUUGAGUCUUAGGAAAAGCAAAAGUUUUGUUUGACUUUAUUCUUGAAUGUUUGGUUUUUUCUUCUUCUAGAAGAUGAAAUGAUACUUAAACAAAAGUUCUUUUCUUCUUCCUUUGUGUGUGUGUGUGGGGGGGGGGGGCAGUUACUGGAACCUAGGGCCUUGGAUAUGAUAGGCAAAUGCUCUACCACUGAGCCACAUACUUAGCCCUUAAAUAAGUGAUCUUUAUGCUGAAUAAUUGUGAUAAUUGAAAUUGUUCAUAUUUCUUGUUUAAGCGGUUUUUAAAAGUCAAAGAUAAUUCUAGACAGUUUUUUU